CUGUCGUCUAAGGCCAUACCACCCUGAACACGCGGGAUCUGGUCUGACCUCGGAAAGGCACUAUCAACUUUUCUCAGGGUUUGGGGAGAGACAGAGACCGAGGCUUUCUUCAGUGCAGUGAGGGCCAGUUCUGAACCUGGGUCCUGCACAUGGCAAAGCAGUGUACUAUCCAGAGCACUGAUCAGCUGUGGCUUAUGGUGUUGAAGGGGACUGAAAUUGAAGCUGGGACUUUGGAGCCUCAUGCAGCUAUCACUGGAGUUUGCCUACAGAACCAUCACUCCUGGCCAUCAUUUAAUUUUCUUUCCUCUCCUUUAGGUAGAGGGUAAGAACAGAGACACAGAGGGAGAGAGUGGGGGGGGAGAGAAGGAGAGGAGAGAUACUGUUGAACUUCUCUGCCGCUCAUGAGGUUUCCCCAUGCAGGUGCUCCCAUGUGGUGACCUGGGGUUCAAAUCCUGGCAGGCACACAUGGUGCUGUUACUGUACUGGGUUAGCUACCUGCUGGCCCUCUUUGGUUCUUGAAAGGAAGGCAAAACUAAUUUCUAAAAAAAAAAAAAAAAAACUAAAAAACUUCUCUCUGCAGCCAAUAGUUAAACUAUCUAAUUUUAUUUACUGAUUUUUUUUGGUUUUAACAUAUUUUUAAUUUCUCAAAUUUCAGUUCAGUUAUUAUUUUUACAUUUGUCUUUUAAAAAUAUAACCCUGUUUGAACAUUUUGAUGAUUCAUUUUAUUUAAAAUUCAAAAUCACUGUUCUAUAUUAACCAUUAUUUCCGACAUCCAAAAUACUUGGAGGUUUGAGUCUGUUGUUUACUAUUUUUGUAGACUGUUAGAUGAUGGUUUGUUUCCUUGUAAAUCUUACUGUGAGCUGAGAUUUGAUCUUACUCUAAAGGGUACCUGAAAAUGGAUGUUAGAUAUUUUCCCACCAAACAUGUACAUUCAGUGUGCGUGUGUGUGUGUGUGUG